rnacentral:rRNA from 1 species
UACGUAGGUGGCAAGCGUUAUCCGGAAUUAUUGGGCGUAAAGAGCGCGCAGGUGGUUAAUUAAGUCUGAUGUGAAAGCCCACGGCUUAACCGUGGAGGGUCAUUGGAAACUGGUUGACUUGAGUGAAGUAGAGGUAAGCGGAAUUCCUAGUGUAGCGGUGAAAUGCGUAGAUAUUAGGAGGAACAUCGGUGGCGAAGGCGGCUUACUGGGCUUUUACUGACGCUGAGGCUCGAAAGCGUGGGGAGCAAACAGG